ACCCAACAAAAAACCGAAACUCAAAACUAAAGCAAAAGGAAAUCCCAGAAGCUCUUCCAUCUCGGAGACGCCAAAGCCAAAUCUACUACUCUCCUCAACCUAAACGACGCCGCUGCCGUCCCAUCUGCUCCUCAGAUAGAAGUUGUUCAGUUGACUAUGGGAGACAGUGAGAUGGUAGUUACUGAAACAACUGCAGUCACGGAGUAUGCAUCUGCUGGAUAUGCUUCUACUGGCUAUGGCGAUACCAGUUCAAAUGUUGCUCCUUACUCUAGUGUUUAUACCACUGAGGGCACUGGGGUUUUUGCUGCUUCUGCUGAUGUGGCUUAUACUGUACCAACUGCUUCAAGUUUUGCUGAUGGGAAUGUAUAUGGUACAGAUUCUAAUUCAGUCGUACAAGAGGCCCAUGUCAACGCAAUUUAUGAGACUAAGCCAGAUGUUGGAAUGGGAAGUACUAGUGAGAAUGUAGUUGCUACGAAGAAUGCAUCUAUAGCGCCAUCUCAAGCUGCUGGUUAUGAGACUUCUGUAAAUGGCAGCAUUGGUGGUGAAGCAGUAAGCACUGCAUCUGCUGAGAAUGGUACUACUGCAGAUAUUGUGGAGGGAGCUGCUGCUGCUACUGUGGAUGGUUUGGUGCCACCAAUGUCAGGCGAAGAAGAGCGAUUGUGGAGUAUUGUGAGGGCUAAUUCCUUGGAUUUUGAUGCAUGGACUGCCUUGAUUGAUGAGACAGAGAAGGUGGCAGGGGACAAGAUAUUGAAAAUUCGAAAAGUGUAUGAUGCCUUUUUGGCUGAAUUCCCAUUGUGUUAUGGGUAUUGGAAGAAGUAUGCAGAUCAUGAGGCACGAAUUGGUUCUAUGGACAAAGUUGUGGAGGUAUAUGAACGAGCUGUUCUGGGGGUGACAUAUUCGGUGGAUAUUUGGUUGCAUUAUUGCAUAUUUGCCAUAAACACAUAUGAAGAUCCUGACACCAUUAGAAGGUAAUUGCUGUUCAGAUUUGCAUUCAUAUUGUUGCUAUACAUUGGAAUCAUGAUUGCAUGAUUUCCUGUGUCACAAGGAUCUGGUGAUUUUGUUGCUCUCUAACAUCAUUUUAGUAUGCCUGCAACAGUGAUUGCUCACAUUAUGGCGAAAGGUGUGAUGGGAAUGCUUUAGAAAUGCAUUUUUCUGAUGUGCAAACCCUUGGUUUUGAGGCUACUCUAGGGGUAGCUGUUUGAAUUUUCUUUUAGGAUGUCAAUCAAAUCUAUAAUCUGGCUUCAUUAUACACAUUUGCUUCUCCGAUGGUCUGCGUCAUAGUAAUGUAGUUGUUUUUGAAUUAUCGCUGUCUUUAACUUGACACUCUGAGGUGCAUCAAUAUGCAAAAUGCUGCUGGGAAGAUCUCGUCCAGUUAAGGGCUAAGAUGACCUCAUUCACUGCUCCAUUUCGGACAUAGUAUGAUUUUUAUCAGGAAGGUAAAUGCAGCAUUUGCAAGUGUCAUGCUGUUAGAGUGAAUUGUUCCUUCUCCUUCAACAUUAGUGAUUAGUCCCGGCGUCUCCCAUUUAUGGAUGUGUCAGCAUUGGCUGGGUCAGUCUAUGUUGAUGUCUUAAUGCUAUUUUCUUGUGCAUCAGGCUUUUUGAACGUGGAUUAGCUUAUGUUGGAACUGAUUAUCUGUCUUACCCCCUUUGGGACAAGUACAUUGAAUAUGAAGAAAUGCAUGCGCAGUGGGGCCAUGUUGCCAUGAUUUACAUGAGGAUAUUAGAGAUUCCAAAUAGAAGGUUGGAUGAUUAUUUCACUAGAUUUAAGGCUUUUGCUGCAAGUCAUCCCUUAUCAGAAUUAAAAACAGCUGAGGAAGCUGCUGCUGCAGUGCCUGCUCCUUCAGAGGGUGGUGACCUAGCAAACGAGGGAGAAGUUCAUCCUGAUGUUGCUGAACAAUCUGCUAAACCUGUAAGUGCUGGCUUAACAGAAGCAGAGGAGUUGGAGAAGUAUAUCGGCAUUAGAGAAGAGAUGUAUAAGAAAGCUAAAGAGUUUGAUUCUAAGAUAUCUGAUUUUGAAAAUGCUAUUAGGAGGCCUUACUUUCACGUGCGGCCCAUCAAUGUUGCAGAGCUUGAAAAUUGGCAUAACUAUCUGGAUUUUAUAGAAAGAGAAGAUGAUUUUAACAAGGUGGUCAAGUUAUAUGAAAGAUGCCUAAUUGCUUGUGCUAAUUAUCCUGAGUAUUGGGUACGUUAUGUCUUGUGCAUGGAAACCUGUGGAAGUAUGGAUCUUGCUAAUAAUGCACUUGCUCGUGCAACUCAAGUCUUUGUCAAGGUAUGAAAUUCCACAUCUUGAAUACUCAUGGAUCUUUAUCAUUACUCAUGUCGAAAUUUGUUAACAAGAAAUCAAUUGGUUCAUUUUUUUGUUGGGUGUUAAUUUGGAGCAGAAUUGAUUUUGGUUUCUCUAGGUUUAUAUUUUUUUUACAAAUUAGAAUGUUGCAGCUUUUCAUUUCUUUAACAUAUUUUAGAAGGCUUUAUUGGGAAGAUAAUCGGCCUUCUGAAACUAAGAACUGGAGUGGAACUGUGGAAUAAGAGACAUGGAUCUCACCUGAGUAAAAGAAAAGAUGAAUAUGGGCAUUUCAAUUAAAAUGACUAAAGGUAAUGUUAUUCAGUCACUUUACCUGUAAAACAGUAGAUUACAGAGCUAAAUUUGACACUGGAAGAAGCUGAAAAUUCCUGUGAGAAUAAGGGUGGGGGUGAGGGUCUGGGUUCAGCAAAUAGCAAUGGGAGAGAUGAAGAUGGAGCAGCAUGGCUCUGCUGUUGUAGCGCACAAAGUCUUACUUUUUUUUUGCUGGUUGUUCUACUUUGCCUUUUUCCAUUGAUAUGCCUGAACUCUGGAAUAAAAAGAUACAUGUGUACGUGCGUGUGGGUCUUUAGGCUUUUCAAGUUCUUGAAUUAUCACAUGCUUGUGAAGCAUCUAUUGCCAUUAUGAAGAUUCUGAUUGAUAUUUAAGGUUGAGGGAAAAUGAGAGUGCUCCUUUUUUUCUUUUUUCUUUUUCUCUAUUGCAAUGUCCUCAUGUUUGAAUUGUCUGUUUAUCCAUAAAUUUUAACAGAGACAACCAGAGAUUCACCUUUUUGCUGCUCGAUUUAGAGAGCAGAGUGGAGAUAUACCUGGUGCCCGAGCUGCAUACCAACUUGUGCACACUGAAAUCACACCUGGUCUUCUUGAAGCGGUUGUUAAGCAUGCAAACAUGGAACAUCGGCUGGGGAACCUCAAAGAUGCCUUCUCUUUGUAUGAACAGACCAUAGCCAUCGAAAAAGGAAAAGAGCAUUCACAGGUGUUGCCAAUGUUGUAUGCACAAUUCUCUCGGUUUCUAUAUUUGGUUGCUGGAAAUGUAGAAAAGGCUAGGGAGGUUCUAGUUGAAGCGCUUGAGAACACUCCAUUAUCAAAACCACUUCUUGAGGCCUUUAUAUAUCUUGAAUCAAUUCAGUCACUACCAAAGCGAAUUGAUUAUUUAGAUUCGUUAGUUGAGAAGUUCAUAGUGCCCAACUCAGAUAGCCUCAAUGCAGCAAUUGCUGUCGAAAGAGAGGAGCUAUCUUGCAUUUUCUUGGAGUUUUUAGGUAUGUUUGGAGAUGCUCAAUCUAUUAAGAAGGCUGAUGAUCGGCAUGCCAAGCUCUUUUUAGCCCAUAGGAGCAAGUCAGAGUUAAAAAAGCGUCAUGCUGAGGAUUAUCUAGUUUCAGAUAAGACAAAAUUAGUAAAAUCUUAUGCUGAUGCUCCUUCACCUGCACAAUCACUUAUGGGUGCAUAUCCAAGUACACAAAACCAGUGGGCAACAGGUUAUGGCUUGCAGCCUCAAGCUUGGCCACCUGUUACACAAGCACAGACCCCUGGCUAUGGUCAACAGGCUACAUAUGGAACAUAUGGUGGUUAUGGAAGCAGCUAUACUAAUCCGCAAGUGCCCUCGUCUGUUGGACAAACAGCAACUUAUGGUGCUUAUCCCCCAACAUAUCCUGUCCAGGCUUUCCCUCAACAAGGUUAUCCACAAGUACAACCAGCUGCGGCAGCUACAUUGGCCCCAGCCCAUCAGCCAGCUUCUGUUCCACAGCCCUAUUAUGGAAGUUACUACUGAAUCAGCAGGAUCUAGUUUUUCCUAUAAUCUUGUUAUUGGCUCCCUAAUCAUUAUCUAUUCUGAACAUAUACCUGUAGCUAGGGGUUUUUUCUGGAACGGUGUAGCUGAAAUGCGUAGGAAGAUGAGAAGUUUCAUCUCUUUAGGUGCUACUGUAGCAUUGUAGUUGGUACAUCAUGUUAAACUCCGCAAUUUUUAGGAAUUUUUUUUUCCUUGUGAGAACCUUACAUUUCGGACUGAGUUUCUUAGGUAGCUUUGGAGUUGAUAUGUAUGUAGGGGAAAAAGAAAAAAGAAGAAACUCGUUUGUAAUGUGGUAAAGUUCGAUGUUAACUUAAACACAAAAUCAUUCUCUGGCGUUGUUUUGGUA
rnacentral:misc_RNA from 1 species